rnacentral:piRNA from 1 species
UAAGAAAGAGACUGAGGAAGAAAAG